rnacentral:rRNA from 1 species
UACGUAGGGUGCAAGCGUUGUCCGGAAUUAUUGGGCGUAAAGAGCGUGUAGGCGGCCCGAUUAGUCCGCUGUGAAAGUCCAGGGCUCAACCCUGGAAUGCCGGUGGAUACUGUCGGGCUAGAGUCCGGAAGGGGCGAGUGGAAUUCCUGGUGUAGCGGUGAAAUGCGCAGAUAUCAGGAGGAACACCAAUGGCGAAGGCAGCUCGCUGGGACGUGACUGACGCUGAGACGCGAAAGCCAGGGGAGCAAACGGG